CAGCCUCCCUCUCAAGCCACAUAUAAAACCCUCCACCACCCUGCCUCCCCCUCAGGCCUCCACACCAGCUUCUUGAGCCCCCUCAGGCCUCUUGUGCAUACAUUUUCCAUUGCAGGAGCUUGACUGCUGUCCAAAGAAAUGGACCCCAUCAGCAUAGAGAAGAUCAGGGCCAUGAGGAAGUACAGGAGGAACAGGAAGCAGCAGCAGCUGCUGCUGCUCCCUGCCCUCGCACCGUACCUGGUGGCCACCUGUGCCGUCCUCUGCCUGCUGCUCACCAGCCCUGCCUGGUUCCCCGGGGUGUGCUCGCUCCUCGUCUCCUUCCUCCUCACCACCCUCCCUGACCUGGCCAUCGCCUUCCUGCUCAGCCCCAAGUGCCUCUUCGUCGUCGGCAACCUCAUCGUCGCCUUCCUCAUCGCCCAGUCUAGGCUAGCUCCGAAGAGCCAGCCCGCUUCCGUUGUGGAUGUCAACGACGUCCACGAGGAGUACGUGAAGAGGAGCGUCGCGCCGAUGACCGCUAAGGCGACAGCUACCACGGUGGUGUUCACCGAUCAUGGCGCCUCGGUAGAAGGAGUUUGGGAGGGAGAGAAGGAGAAGGAGGAGGAGGAGGUGGUGGAGCAGGGAGAGGAGGAGCUGGAGAAGAGGGUGGACGACUUCAUCGCUAGGGUGAAGAGGCAGAGGAAGCUCGAAGGCAAGAGCUUCUUCGACACCGAUCGAUAGGCGACCAUGCACGAUCAACCUUGCUUAACCUCCUUGGAGCUGGAAGAUGCAACAUGCAAGAGAAGAUUACGUCCGAAUUAAGGAUAUGUAAUGCUUUGUGCUACCAUGCUUGCUUAAUUAUGUCUUGUUAUUAAUUAGGGUCAGAGGUAAGAGGAAGAAGAAGAGGAGAAAGAAGAACCGGUUCCAGUGUCUUCUCUUCUCACGUUGUAGCUGGUUAAUUCUGGGUUGUAAGAAUGCCCCGGGGAUUAGGCAGAGAGGAGGAGAGACAAGGAAUGUGUGUGUGAUCUUUGGAAAAGUUGAGGAAAAAAGAAGUGAUGCCUGUUGUCUUUCAGUUAUCUUGCUUUGUGUCUAGCUGGUGGCAUGAUGCCAUGGUUAUUGUAGUGCUUAGAGAAUCUGAUGGUCACAAAGCUGCCGGGAUGACACGGGACGCAAAAGCUCAGUGCAUGUAUGAAGUGAUCAAGUGUAAACUAGAGGUUGACACAUGCAUGAAUGUACUUUCAGAUCAGCUGCGAAAUCGUCCGGUGACCGGUCGCCCUUUCGCAGUAAAUAAUCAGGAAAAUUAGUGAUGGAAAUAAUGGUUCUAUUGUCCUACCAGCAAGAAUUAAAAGUAAAGUCAUGGUUUCAUACUUC
rnacentral:rRNA from 1 species